rnacentral:lncRNA from 13 species
GACGCAGACAUGGAAUCCAAGGAAUAAUGUUGCAGGUGGUUGUUAAUCUCUUAUCACACAACUUGGAAAGCUACAAAGGACAAUAUAAAUAUGUUGAUUGCAAUAGGGUUUAUACGUUUUUAUUUUAUGUUUUUAUUUCACCUUUAUUUAACCAGGUAGGCUAGUGGAGAACAAGUUCUCAUUUACAACUGCGACCUGGCCAAGAUGAAGUAAAGCAGUGCGACACAAACAACAACACAGAGUUACACAUGGAAUAAACAAAUAUACAGUCAAUUAUACAAUAGAAAAAGUAUAUAUACAGUGUGUGCAAAUGAGGUAGGAUAAGGGAGGUAAGGCAAUAUAUAGGCCAUAGUGGCGAAAUAAUUACAAUAUAGCAAUUAAACACUGGAGUGAUAGAUGUGUAGAAGAUGUGUGCAAGAAGAUAUACUGGGGUGCAAAGGAGCUAAAUAAAUAAUAUAAAUAACAGUAUGUGGAUGAAGUACUGUAGUUCAUCGAUAGUUAAAUAUUAGGUCAAUAAUAAUAUUCAUCAUCAUUAAUAAACACACACGUUUCAAGGCUAAACAUAUUUUAACACCCAUCCCUUUGAAGAAAGCAUGCUUAUGCUCCACACGGGGACCAGUCUUUGGAAGUUGUCGUACUGGGCAGGUUAUGAGAGGCUGAAGGAGGGAGGAAUGAGCAGAGUUGAACUACAAACACAUUUGCGGGUGCCUUCGCUCCACUCCAUACCAGCGUGGGGUAGGGAAAUGUAGGCGACGGAUUUUAUCCACCAAAUCUCAGCGGGAAUACUGAGUAAUGUCUGCGAGAUUUAUUGAGGAGACAGGAGCACGGGUUGUAGACUACUCGCGCCUGUCUCACCUGCAUGAGUUUUCAGUGUGUAUUUUGGAAACUGCGACCGUAAGCUUUGAUUUGAAAAAAAAUAGAGCAGAGCCGCAACACGAUAUAUCCGGACAUUGAUUUGAAUUGAAUGGAUCAUUGUUCGCUGAAUUCGUCUAUAUGGGAUGUACUGUGAGUUUCAUCUGUUGUGAGGACGAGUUGUUGGUGCCCCUCGGUCGCUAUGAGGAGAAAGAGAAAGAAGAAUCCACAAUCUUAUCAAAGCUUGCCUGGGGUCGUUGCUGGCGAGGUAUCCAGGGACAACGGCUGACUGUUUACUUCCUCUUGACCAGAAGGGCAGAUGUCAUUUCACUAGCUGUCCGCAGCCGGCUGGAACGUAAUACACUGCAUCACUAAAGCAAACACACCAGAGGACAUACAGGGGUAGAUAGACCUACUAGACUGGUAUCAUUUUGGUCAUCUCCCCAAAAUUCCCAGGUUUUCAGAAAUCCUGGUUGGAAGACUUCUGGAGUUAAGAGGGAAUACGCAGGAAAUCUGGAAUCCUCCAACCGUAAUUUUGGGACAACCUGGGAUUAUGGGUAAAUUUACCGCAAUUUGGCCGUCCUAUCCUCACUCAUUCAAACAGGGAGUGUUGCUUCUAAUGGAAGAAUAGAGUGCAGGUCACUGGGGUGAUGUGGAUGCUGCUGUUGAGUUGGUGAAGUCCUGCUGUCCCCAGAUUGUAGCUUAUCAGCACCACUAAGCUGGUCUCCCGAGUGGCGCCUUGGUCUAAGGCACUGCAUCACAGUGCUUGAAGUGUCACUACAGACACCCUGGUUUGAAUCCAGGCUGUAUCACAACUGGCCGUGAUUGGGUCCCAUAGGGCGGCGCACAAUUGGGCCAGCGUCGUCCAGGUUUGGCCAGUGUAGGCCGUCAUUGUAAAUAACAAUGUGUUCUUAACUGACUUGCCUAGUUAAAUAAAGGUUCAGAAGAUCCUGAUCCCAUUGUCUUUAACACCUGAUUCAGGAUCAGAUCCCCGUGCCACAGUUCCAUCCUAAUAAUGGAACCCUUGUCCGCUGUGUGUAGUUCCCUAACUUUCUUUCUCUUCUGUGACAUCAUUGUUGUUGGCAUAUCCUUGUUUACAUCAUUCCGUGGCGGGUUUCGUGGGUUGGGGGAUGUAGUUGACACUCCAGGCUAGCCCUGUUUCCCUUGGCAGCUGUCCUUGUGAGUCAGCCCUCAUAGACCUCCAUACUAAAUACACCCAGUGCUCUGCUGUCCAUAGACAUGCUCAGCUCCCACUAAUGACAGACCUGCCAUGACUGUCUGAGUGACUCACUACUGGGCCAGGAGGGCCACUUGUGCAGCUUUUAGCGUUUCCCCAAAAUAUAUAUAUACAGUAUACAUAUUUAUAUACAGUAUACAUAUUUAUAUACAGUAUACAUAUUUAUAUACAGUAUACAUAUUUAUAUACAGUAUACAUAUUUUUUUUUGUUAUUUGAUUUAUAUUUAUAAUCCCAUUUAUGGAAAUGUAUCUUUUUCUCUGGGGAGGAUUUCCCAAGACCGCAAACGGCGAAGAUCCUCAUUAUAAUAAGGAGGGCCAUAAAAAUGCAGACUACAAAUAGACUAGACGAUGUAAAUGAUCUAUUCUAGAUGACGCAGCAGCCUCAGCGGCCAGGAUUAGCUGAUCACAGCUGAACACCUUAAAGCAUCGUAGUUUAAUAGACUUGCCCAUUCAUUGAUCAAGGGGCAGCAGGUCCUGUUCGAUUCAAGAUAAUGAAGAGGGACAUAAUGUGGUUAUUAUGGUUCCCUUGCCCUUGAGUAUCGUUAAGGGGGAGUAGAGUUGCCUGACGACUCUUCCACGGUUCUAUGUUUGCUACGUCAGUCUGAGACGGCCGUUGUUGAAGUUGUUCGUUGUGACGUCAAAAUGAUGGGUGAUGCACGAAACAAAGUCAUCAGUGAUUGGAUCAUCUGUAACCAAUCAGAGUAUCAAAGCCAAUGACACAUUUUAAAAACGCCAUUUUAACCACGUGUGUUCUGGCUUUGGCCCAACCCAGAGGUUUCUGGGACCAAUCAGAACAGUUAGAUUGUGUUUGUGCUCUAAAAAUCAUCUGGGAAGUACUCAGAUCCAGACUCAUUGUGGAGAAGAAACUAACAUUUGUGUGCAUGGUGUAACGUUUAGCUGCAAAGGGGAAUAGAGGGCUUUGGUUGGAGUGUGGUGUUGGGGUGAGGGCAGAGAGAGAGGAGGGAGAUUGUGGAAAAGGUGACAAGAGAGGAAAAGAAAGGAGAGGGACAAGGACUGAGAGAAGUAAGGGGAGAGAGGGAUGGGGAUCUCAGAGAAGUAGGGGGAGAGAGAGUAGGAGAGAGGUAGGGGGAUCUGAGAGUAGUGGGAGGUAGUGGGAGAGAGGUAGGGGGAUCUCAGAGAAGUAGGGAGAGAGAGAGGUAGUGGGAGAGAGAGGU